UGUGCGCCGUUAGAGGGUGUUCACUGCAUCCGACUAUUCGGUGAAGGAAAGAGAAAGGAACUGUGUAAUAGAAGAAUCAGAGACAAGUCUUGUGGAUUUGUGUAUCAAUAACAAUAGUGAUACUGGAUUUUACGAAAAGAAAAGAGAGAGAAAAAAAGUGGAUCCUAGUAUAUCAGUGCUCGUGUGUAUAAUAAUCAAGUCUGUGAGGAGAAGUAGUAGAAGAACAAGAAAAAAAAAAAAGAAAAAUGAAGGAGAAUAAGAACAAAAACAACAACCAUCUCUGUAUUCACUUGUGUCACUUCGUCUCUACAAGAACAAGCCCCACGGUUCCUCUUCCUCCUGUAAUGGGGUAAGAAUUGCAGUCAGCGUGUGUGUGUGUGUCCGUGUGUUACAACAGGAACCGUCGUGGUGGUGGGUGAG